GGGCCUGUGUGCAUCCAGACACUCAGCCCCACUCUCUGAUCCUUUAGUGUCCUCCUGCUUGGGAGGGGCCACCUUGUGCCUGGGGUGGCUCGGAAGGAAGAUAAUUGUCAGGGAGCUGAGCUGAACCUGAGCCGGCCAAUUGAGGAGCAGGGCCCCCUGGAUGUCAUCAUCCACAAGCUGACCGAUGUCAUCCUCGAGGCUGACCAGAAUGACAGCCAGUCCCUGGAAUUGGUGCACAGGUUCCAAGAGUACAUCGAUGCUCACCCUGAGACCAUCGUCCUGGACCCCCUUCCCGCCAUCAGGACCCUGUUAGACCGCUCCAAGUCCUACGAGCUCAUCCGCAAGAUCGAGGCCUAUAUGAAAG
rnacentral:lncRNA from 1 species